AGACGAACCGGGCGAACGUUAUUCGGAAUCACUGGGCUUAAAGCGUGCGUAGGCGGCUCGGCAAGUUGGGUGUGAAAGCCCUCGGCUCAACCGAGGAACUGCGCCCAAAACUGCCAGGCUUGAGGGAGAUAGAGGUGAGUGGAACUAAUGGUGGAGCGGUGAAAUGCUUUGAUAUCAUUAGGAACACCGGUGGCGAAAGCGGCUCACUGGGUCUCUUCUGACGCUGAGGCACGAAAGCUAGGGGAGCGAACGGGAUUAGAAACCCUUGUAGUCC
rnacentral:rRNA from 1 species